AGAGUUUGAUCCUGGCUCAUAUUGAACGCUGGCGGCAUGCCUAACACAUGCAAGUCGAACGGAAACGACGAAAACAAAGCCGAGAAAGCACUUCGGUGUGAGUAGAGCGGCGGACGGGUGAGUAACGCGUAGGAAUUUGCCCAGUAGUGGGGGACAACAUGUGGAAACGCAUGCUAAUACCGCAUACGCCCUAUGGGGGAAAGCAGGGGAUCUUCGGACCUUGCGCUAUUGGAGAAGCCUGCGUCGGAUUAGCUAGUUGGUGGGGUAAAGGCCUCCCUAGGCAACGAUCCGUAGCUGGUCUGAGAGGAUGAUCAGCCACACUGGGACUGAGACACGGCCCAGACUCCUACGGGAGGCAGCAGUGGGGAAUAUUGGACAAUGGGCGCAAGCCUGAUCCAGCCAUACCGCGUGUGUGAAGAAGGCUCUAGGGUUGUAAAGCACUUUAAGUUGGGAGGAAAGGUUGAAGUUUAAUAAACUUUAGCUGUGACGUUACCAACAGAAUAAGCACCGGCUAACUCCGUGCCAGCAGCCGCGGUAACACGGAGGGUGCAAGCGUUAAUCGGAAUUACUGGGCGUAAAGCGCGCGUAGGUGGUUUAGUAAGUUGGGUGUGAAAUCCCCGGGCUUAACCUGGGAACUGCAUUCAAAACUGCUGGACUAGAGUACGAUAGAGGGGGGUAGAAUUUCAGGUGUAGCGGUGAAAUGCGUAGAGAUCUGAAGGAAUACCGGUGGCGAAGGCGGCCACCUGGACAAAGACUGACACUGAGGCGCGAAGGCGUGGGGAGCAAACGGGAUUAGAUACCCCGGUAGUCCACGCAGUAAACGAUGUCUAUUAGCCGUUGGGAUCCUUGAGAUCUUAGUGGCGCAGCUAACGCGUUAAGUUGACCGCCUGGGGAGUACGGCCGGAAGGUUAAAACUCAAAUGAAUUGACGGGGGCCCGCACAAGCGGUGGAGCAUGUGGUUUAAUUCUAUGCAACGCGAAGAACCUUACCAGGCCUUGACAUCCUCGGAACUUAGCAGAGAUGCUUUGGUGCCUUCGGGAACCGAGUGACAGGUGCUGCAUGGCUGUCGUCAGCUCGUGUCGUGAGAUGUUGGGUUAAGUCCCGUAACGAGCGCAACCCUUGUCCUUAUUUGCCAGCACGUAAUGGUGGGAACUCUAGUGGGACUGCCGGUGUCAAGCCGGAGGAAGGUGGGGACGACGUCAAGUCAUCAUGGCCCUUACGACCUGGGCUACACACGUGCUACAAUGGCCGGUACAGAGGGUUGCCAAACCGCGAGGUGGAGCUAAUCCCAGAAAGCCGGUCGUAGUUCGGAUUGGAGUCUGCAACUCGACUCCAUGAAGCCGGAAUCGCUAGUAAUCGCGAAUCAGAAUGUCGCGGUGAAUACGUUCCCGGGCCUUGUACACACCGCCCGUCACACCAUGGGAGUGGGUUGCAAAAGAAGUGGGUAGACUAACCUUCGGGAGGUCGCUCACCACUUUGUGAUUCAGGACUGGGGUGAAGUCGUAACAAGGUA
rnacentral:rRNA from 1 species